UACGGAGGGUGCAAGCGUUAUCCGGAUUCACUGGGCUUAAAGGGUGCGUAGGUGGGCAGGUAAGUCAGUGGUGAAAUCUCCGGGCUUAACCCGGAAACUGCCGUUGAUACUAUUUGUCUUGAAUAUUGUGGAGGUAAGCGGAAUAUGUCAUGUAGCGGUGAAAUGCUUAGAUAUGACAUAGAACACCAAUUGCGAAGGCAGCUUACUACACAAUGAUUGACACUGAGGCACGAAAGCGUGGGGAUCAAACAGG
rnacentral:rRNA from 1 species